rnacentral:rRNA from 1 species
UGGAUGAGUAAAGUGGCGAACGGGUGAGUAACGCGUGGGUAAUCUACCCUAAAGUCGGGGAUAACNNNNNNAAAGGGGUGCUAAUACCGGAUAACAUCCCUGANACUCCGGUCUCGGGGAUCAAAGAUGGCCUCUGCUGGCAAGCUGUCGCUUUAGGAUGAGCCCGCGUACCAUUAGCUUGUUGGUAGGGUAAUGGCCUACCAAGGCUACGAUGGUUAGCUGGUCUGAGAGGAUGGCCAGCCACACUGGAACUGAGACACGGUCCAGACUCCUACGGGAGGCAGCAGUGAGGAAUCUUGCGCAAUGGGGGCAACCCUGACGCAGCGACGCCGCGUGAGCGAAGAAGGCCUUCGGGUCGUAAAGCUCUGUCAGAUGGGAAGAAAAUUCUGCCUGCGAAUAACAGGCAGAAUUGCUGGUACCGUCAAAGGAAGCACCGGCUAACUCCGUGCCAGCAGCCGCGGUAAUACGGAGGGUGCAAGCGUUGUUCGGAAUUACUGGGCGUAAAGCGCGUGUAGGCGGUCUAGCAAGUCAGAUGUGAAUCCCUUGGCUCAACCAAGGAAGGGCAUUUGAAACUGCUAGUCUUGAGUACGGGAGGGGGAAGCGGAAUUCCCGGUGUAGAGGUGAAAUUCGUAGAUAUCGGGAGGAACACCGGUGGCGAAGGCGGCUUCCUGGACCGAUACUGACGCUGAGACGCGAAAGCGUGGGGAGCAAACAGGAUUAGAUACCCUGGUAGUCCACGCUGUAGACGGUGGGCACUAGGUGUUGUGGGUAUUGACCCCCG